GUGAUUCUCCAGAGGCCUCUUUCGGAAUGUGAUUGCUCACCUAAACACAUAAUGAAAAUCACUAAGCAAUUUUUUUAAAAAGCUAGCGUGUUUCAGCGACGAUGCUGCGGUGGCUCUGGUGUUGAUCCACCAGGAUUGCAGAUUGGGCUCGUUUGUGAGUUUGGCUUUGCAAUGGCGACGUGCCAACGUUGAUUUCUUGGAUGUAGGAGUGAGGUUUGACUGAUGGCAAGAUGAUGAAUCUUUUCUUUUGAUCCUAUUAGUCGUCUGAUCCUGUUAGUCGUCAAAUGGAAAAAUCCUUUUGAUUUUUUUUUAAGUGAAUGACGAGUGCAUAAAAGGCCUGGGCUUGGGGUUCUAUCGGUGGUGACCGAUCGGAAUGUUUAAGAGUGAAUGGACCAUGGUGUGUAUAGAAUUGCACUUGGGAACGGGUUUAUUCAUUCUUCAUUCUCAUUUCUUGUAAACAGGAAGAAAGACACUUCUCAUCUUUAUUUAUUCUUCUUUCCGUGUAAGAUUAAUCCAUCAUCUGUUCUUGUGCGUUUUGUUUACACCGAUCGGAUUGUGGUGGUGCCAUCUCAAAAGGGAAACGAAAUAUUUAUAUGUAGAGCAGCAUUUGAAUAGAAAGAAUAAGAGAUGAAGAAAAUGUUGGGGAACGCAGGAAAGAAGAAGAACUAGAGCCGCAGAUAUGGACGCGGACACGCGCUCCGCUACGGCCAAGCCGACCCAGAACGAAUGGAUUGGAUUGUUCAACUGAUUAGAGAGUCGAUUUUUAUCUUAACUGGAACUGACAGCCACCCAUUUCUUUACGAUGGUUAGAACAGCAGGAGGGGAAGAAAAAAAAAUUCCAUUUCAUUUUUUUCUUUUCUUUUUCUUUUUCAGAAAACCAAAUAAAGCAAAACAAAUACUCUUGUAUAAUCCUUUGAAGGGAACGCGCAGUGCUCGGCAGCAGUGACGGUUGAAUUUGUGGUGGCUGCUGCUGGUGUGGCGUCAUCUGGACAGGUCAGCAUAUAGUCUCUCGGUUGGUUUGUUUGUUCCGUCUGAAUAGAAAAGUCAGGCAAGUGUCGGAGCACAUAGAAAAGCAAAUCAAAUGAAGUGCAGCAUGACGAGAAAAAGGAUGCGCUUCCACAAAAAUAUAGAAGAGUCGAAUAGUUUUUAUUUUUUUCUGCCGAGGACCCAACAGCAGCAGCAGCAGCACUGGAAAAUGACUUGCAGUUGCUUUUUAGACAUCGACGAUAGAUUUUUGGAAAGAAAACAAAAACGGCGCAAUUUCUCUCUCUCUCUGGAGCACAAAAUCAGAGACGGGAAGAUAAAGAGAAAAAACCUAAUUUGCAUUUGUACGAUUUCACGUCCAUGACCGAUGCAUUUAGAGGUUUCGACCAUGUACAGGUAUCGUUUGGGUUUCCGUUCACAGCCGCCGACCCGAUGCCAUCGAGUCUUUGAUCAACAGGUUAGAGCUUCUUUUGUAGAUGCCGGACAAAUGUUCGGCGUAACUCUUUUAAAGAACUUCUUCUUCUUCGACUGUCGUUGCUUUGCACAAUCUCUAAAUGGACAUACAACAACAACAACAGCAUUCUUAGAAAAAGAAGGAUCGAGGAACGCCUCCAUUUCAUUUCGAACCGAAAUUCGGUUGCAAUCGUGACGCCAGACAACAAUUCGUACAAAACAAAGAAAAGGACAAACAAAAAGUGAAAAGAAAUACGAGGCAUAGCCAACAAAUUACAGAAGCAGAACAUACUGGAAGAAGAAUUCCGUUACGGGUUCAGCUGUUUUCUCUCAUCAUCUGUUUUCUUUUUUUGCCAAUCACACUUCUUGCCAAGUUUGCCAAACGCAACCCCAGUCGUCGCCACCGUGGUCCCCCCCAGCGGGGCUGGGGGUCAAAAAGUUGAGAAACGAUCAAAUGUCUGCGGGUUCAUCAGCUGUUUCAGCGCAGCAGUUUAUGUUUUCUUCUUAUUCAUUCUGCCCACCGAAAAGAAAACAGAAUAAGACGCCGUUGUUCAUUUUCCUUUUCUUUUUUUCCCCGUAAGAGUUUGCACCAUCCGUCAUUUUAUGUGACACCGUCAAAAAAUAACCAAAGUCGUCGACAAGGUCUUACAUUGUAUCUCCUUUGUAUGAUAAUCAUCCACAGUGGUGUAUAUUCGUAGAAAAACAAGAGAGAACCCGUUGCACUGCAGAUCUAUGCGCAGACUGUUACACAAAAAAAGGGAAAAAAGAAACGUCCAAAAACAGAGCCAUGGAAAAUAUAAAAGAGCGCAGAGGUGUAUAGAGAGACUCCUGAAGGACUUGUCAUUCUCUUAACGACAGAGAGAGAGAGAGAGUCAAAACUCAGAAAAGUGUAAAUAUACAUAUGGGACAGCGGCUGUGUAGAAGCGAGACAGGAGGACUCCAGGUAGCCUAUAAGUCCAGACUUCUACUCUUUUAGGAGAUAAGGUGGUGGAGAGUGACAGAAGCGAAGAUAGGAGAGCGCGUAUGGCAGUUUUCCAUCGUGACGCAAGUCCCCGAUAGAGAGGGAAUAUAAGGCAGGCGAGCGAUGUUAUAAAGAGACGAGAAGAGAGAAAGAAGAAAAAAGAUGCAGGAGAUAAACAAACUGAAAGGCAGCGAGAAAGAAAACGACAAGAAACAGACGCCAUCCGACGAGUUUCCUGUCGUUUCUCUCAUCAGAUUUUUCUGUGUUGGUCUCCUCACCGACCUGUAUCAGGUGCUCAGAUGAGAUCUUCCACUCUUGAUUUUGUCCGAUUCUUGACAAAGAAUCUGUCGGACGACAUGACGGACGGAAGCGGACUCAAUUUCGUUUGUCCAGCGAAUGGCGAAAACGCGCCAGCACAAAUAGCAACAGGCGCAGGAAGAAGAGAGGGGAGACUCCAAGGGGGGAAAAAAUAGCUCCUCCAGUUCCAUCUCUGGAAAUCUGACUCUUUUAUCUUUCCUUUUUCCUUCUUUUUUUUCUUUUUCGCUCGCUUUUUCUUUUAUUUUCUGCAACCACAUGCCUGUUACUUAUUUUCGGCUUAACAUCGAGUUUCGUGGGGUCUUGUGCGACACCAACUGCGUUCUCUUCCAUUCGUUUUUAGCGUAAGGACAAAUUCCUUGUUUACUGUAUAAUAAUCCACGAGUUAUGUCUGAAUUCAUCGACACAUAUGACUCGGCAGCGACUCGGUUUUGGCCGUCCUCGAAAUCCUCGAGAAGACUAGGGGUUGAAAAAAAAAGUUUUACUUGUCAACGACUGCUGAAGGGGAUGACUGCUGUUAUUCUUAUAGUGUCCCGCGUUUGAAUAGCGCGCUUACAACGAGCACUAGAAAGUUAUGGCUACAUGUUUCCUUGUGUAUGAGCGACAAACAGCGGCGCGUGCGGCGUCAUCGUCCGUCGUUUCCCGCAGUCAUCCUCUUCGUAACCUUUCAAACAAAAAACACUUGACAACAAACCAACAGCAAGUACAGAAACCAGUUUGAAGUUUGUUUGACAAUUGUUUUUUUUUUUUUUUUUUUUUUUUACUGGAAAAAUCCAACUUAAUCCUGUACUACAAGGACAACAUACGUACGCGGGUAAAUUGCGAGAUGUGAAAUUAGAUUUAGGCUUACACCGAUAGAUGGUAGAGAUAAAUAUUUAGUUCCCGUGUCAGAAGCCAUCUGUUAUGUGUUGCUAGAUCUGGCGAGCGACCCCACAUCUUGUGAAAACGAAAUCUAAAACCGCGAUAAGAAGAAAGAUGACAACAGGUUCGGUGAAUAGCCAUGGCAACCAAAGGGUUAUCUUUCUCUCUAUUCUCUCUAUUCUCUCUUUUCGACUAUGUAUAUACAUGUACAUAAUACUGAUGGUUUUGAAGUCGACCAGAUCGUUCGUCUUAAUCUUUUCUACUGACACUUGCAACUGUCAUUUCUGUGUGAACCCUUGAUCGUUCCUUGUCACUCGAGGAUUCCUUUGCUAUGACAGAUUUCACGAAAACAAUAACAAGAGAAUGGAUAGCAAUCGAAACGAACGGCUCCAACGAGGACCGGUUACUAUCCUUAUCUGUCGAUGAAGAAGACGGUCGAAAAGAGACGGCCCAGUUGAUCAGAAAGGUGUACUGCUUGCUGUCGUUGCGUAUCUUGUGCUUGACGGUGAUAGAGUGCUUCGCCAUCUACGACGAAUCAAUCAGUUCCUUCUUUUCGGGAUCCGGCGGCGGAGUUGUCAUCUUCAUGAUCUGGUUAAUUCAGUUCAUUCUAUCGGGUUACACAUCGCUAUCGGACCGUUUGGGACCGGACAAGCCGUCCAAUCAGAAACGAUUCAUCGCCUUAAACGUCAUGGAAGGUCUGGUUUGUGCCGGAGCCGCUUCCAAUCUUUACCACUCAAACAGCAUUCAGCUCGUCGAUGUUUUGCUGCUGAAUGGUUCGUUGGGAAUCUUCCACUCGGGUCACGCGCUCUUCUUCAUGAAUCCCUGGUUGCUCUACCACGGACUUUACGGCGUCGUUUACGCUGCGCUGAGCGUCGGUAUUCCAAUUUUGUUGGCGUUCAAUUUGAACUCGUCAUACGCAGCUUCCGGUAGCGAUCUGUCAGUCGAAGAUGAUCCAUCGGCCAGGAGCACCGAUUGGAAGUCUAUUUCGUGGGUUGAAAUCGCUUGCCUCGGUUGGCUGUGCUGUUUGUGGUAUUCGCUAGAGACGCACGCCGUCGUCACCAAGAGGCAUCGCUUCCGCUUUGAGCGACACCAGGACUGUUUUUUCGUCAUGUUGUGUUUCGCUUACGCCGAUGUUUGGAAUGUUUUCGCCAAGUUCAGGUUAUUCUUCGUGACGAAAUCGAGUGAAACGGAGGCCCAGACGGACCAAGAAGAGUAGCGAGCGACACCCCGCCGUGCGGACGCUGAACGGCAACUUGCUGGCUGACUUGCGACUCUUUUCAUCCGCGUCGCUUUGUCUUCCCGUCUGGAUUCUUCAAAUGGUUUCUUUGCCCUUACGACGCUGUGUACUAAUAAUGCACGCUCUCACUAAAAACACACCGGAAGGAACUCGCACGUGAUCCAGGAUCGGAAAUCGAUCAACCAGCAGUCGGAACUCGUGCCGUUUCCCAUUUCCCGACAAUUCGAAAUAUGCCCAGUCUUAGCACCGAGCAUUCCAGGACCCCGGAGCCAUUAAUCAAGGCGUUCUUUUCUAUUUUAGCUCAUUAUCUCUGACUAUACAAGUAUAGAUGUAUUCUCUUCUAGUUGGAUAAGGUUUAUGUUGGCUUACUAACAAUCUAUAGGGAUUCCAGGGCUUUUUGCCUAAUAAUGUCGAACAGCAUCGAUCCGAUACUGAAAUCGAGUUUUACCUUCAUGCCAAAUGCAUUUGUGAGCAUCGUGAGUUUACUUUGGGUUUUUCUUUAUCAUCCAUCUCUUGGGUCGAUUAAAAUUAGUAAAGUGCGAUUUAAAAACAGAUUUUUCUUGAGAUUUAUGUAAUUUUUCCGCGUGAAAAUUCGGGAGUGAACUUUAGAUGCGCUCUCUAGUUCUCAAGCUUUUGUGAGUAGUGAACGAAUGCUCCAUCUAGCGAGGGAAUUUAUGUUUGCUUGGUCGAUGGUUUCGGUUCAACAACUGAAAUGCGGGAAAAUCCACCUAGCAUAGCAUGUAAAGUAACAAACCAAAAAUAUUUCGUGUACCGUUUCGUUUUGAUUUUUGUUUGCAAUUGUAAAGAGUAGUUCACUGUUCAACGGUUAGUGAUAGACGCAAGAAUAGUGAAGAGGCUGAUUGUUAAGUGUGGCAGUCAUUGUUGGCAAAAAAACCCUGCGGAAACAAAACAUAAGAAAUCGACCAUUUUCUAAAAUCUGACAUUCUCGUUACGAACGAAACCAUUUGAAAUUUACACUGUUCAGACCACCGGAAGUUUCUGAACUUCCAAGACGAGGGAAUGGCUAUUUAAGGAACACUAAUAUUGGCUAUUUGCGUAAAAGUUGAGUGUCUGUUCAAAUCUGUGUUGUAAUCGUCGGUUUUACAACUAAGGGAAAUGUGAAUAGCGAUUAGUGUUUUACACCUUUGGUAUUGCCGCGUUAUUCAUUUAUAAAUAAUUCUCGCGGUCCGCUGGUUAUAUAAGCUGAAGGAAACGCCAGUACGCGCACUUCUUUGCACGACAGUUCUUGACCUGACGGAUACUGGAACUCAGAUAACAGGCAUGAUGGUGAAUAAGAUGUUACUGUCGAUAAAUUAUCUAUCGACUUUCAUGUUGGUUAUCUUGAUUUUGAGCAGCUCUGUUGCAUCACAUCCUGCAAUAUCUGAAACUCCAUCUGAUAAAACGGAAAAUAACAAUUCGGACAAGGAGACUUCCCCUGAAGCACCUGUAUCCAACAGAGCAUACACUUCUUCGACAAAUUCCAACAACUUGGUCAACAGUUGGAGGAACCUACUGCCGAGUCAUUUUGGGGAAUUCUUCGAGGUCUUCGUCUUUUUCAUGGAACUGAAAUGGCACUACGAAAUUGAAGAGGCCAUAGCGGCAGUCGGAUCAAGGAUCAAUGACGAUCAUUAUCCCAAAGAGAUCGAUGCUACCAAGUCAAUCAGUGUUGAAGCUGAAGAUGUCGAUGACAAAGUUAUUGAACAUUUUCUCGAUCGAACAAAUUAUCUGAAAUAUUAUUUGAACGCCAUGGCACCAGUAUAUUACGGCUACCGUAGGAAGUCUGAAAUAUCGCGAUCGUAAAAUCUCGUUUUCCAUCCUACGCCAAAAUACUUACAGUUUUGCACAUGAAUUUUAAUUUAUUUCAUGCUAUUAAUUGUGGUUGGCUUGCGUUAUUCUUGAUGCUACUGACAAUUAUUGUAAUUUCAAAUAUAUGGGAGAAUAAGAAUAUACAUAUGGAAACUGGG
rnacentral:lncRNA from 1 species